AUGUAAAUUGGCUGAGGCAGGUUGAAUCUAGGGAGAAAAUUAUGGGGUAUUAAAUAGACAGAUUGGUGAUCGAAGAAGUUCCGGAUAUUUCUUGUAUUCUAAACGAUAAUAGCAGGUGGCCAAAAUUAUUACACUGGAGAGGUUUUUUAUUGGAAAUUUGUGACAGAUGGGACGUUAAUUAGGACUUACUCAGUGAAGUUGGUGAAACACACGUGUUUUAUAUACACUGAUGGUUCUGCAUAACCGCUGACCAUCCUGGCAAGUUGAAU